GUCGGGUGUGGUGGCUCAUGCCUGUAAUCCCAGCUACUCGGGAGGCUGAGGCAGGAGAAUCACUUGAACCCGGGAGGCGGAGGUUGCAGUGAGCUGAGAUCGCGCCACUGCACUCCAGCCUGGGUGAUAGAGUGAGACUCCGCCUCAA
rnacentral:SRP_RNA from 1 species